AACGCUAAGAAGCUAAACCGGGCACAGCAUUAGCCUUUUAAGCUAAAGAUUGGUGGCUCCCAACCACCCCUAGC
rnacentral:tRNA from 1 species